CCCUUAGACGUUCUGGGCCGCACGCGCGCUACACUGACACAGGCAACGAGCUUUCCUUUACCGAAAGGUAUGGGUAAUCUUUUGAAACUGUGUCGUGCUGGGGAUAGAUCCUUGCAAUUUUUGAUCUUAAACGAGGAAUUCCUAGUAAGCGCGAGUCAUCAACUCGCGUUGAUUACGUCCCUGCCCUUUGUACUCACCGCCCGUCGCUACUACCGAUUGAAUGGCUUAGUGAGGCCUCAGGAUCCGCGCUUAAUGUGUGGAGAAUUUGGACAAACUACGUCAUUUAGAGGAAGUAAAAGUCGUAACA
rnacentral:rRNA from 1 species